rnacentral:tRNA from 1 species
GCCGAGGUGGUGGAAUUGGUAGACACGCAAGACUCAGAAUCUUGUGCUCGAAAGGGUGUGGAAGUUCGACUCUUCUCCUCGGCACCA